UACGUAGGUGGCUAGCGUUGUCCGGAUUUACUGGGCGUAAAGAGCGCGCAGGCGGUCGUUCAAGUCGAGUGUGAAAGCCCCCGGCUCAACUGGGGAGGGUCACUCGAUACUGAUCGACUCGAAGGCAGGAGAAGGGAAGCGGAAUUCCCGGUGUAGUGGUGAAAUGCGUAGAUAUCGGGAGGAACACCAGUGGCGAAGGCGGCUUCUGGCUGUUCCUUGGACGCUAGCGCGAAGGCGUGGGUAGCAAAA
rnacentral:rRNA from 1 species